rnacentral:rRNA from 1 species
AACCGUGUACGUACAAGCAGUGGGAGCACAGGUUUACCUGUGUGACUGCGUACCUUUUGUAUAAUGGGUCAGCGACUUAUAUUCUGUAGCAAGGUUAACCGAAUAGGGGAGCCGGAGGGAAACCGAGUCUUAAUUGGGCGUUAAGUUGCAGGGUAUAGACCCGAAACCCGGUGAUCUAGCCAUGGGCAGGUUGAAGGUUGGGUAACACUAACUGGAGGACCGAACCGACUAAUGUUGAAAAAUUAGCGGAUGACCUGUGGCUGGGGGUGAAAGGCCAAUCAAACCGGGAGAUAGCUGGUUCUCCCCGAAAGCUAUUUAGGUAGCGCCUCGUGAAUUCAUCUCCGGGGGUAGAGCACUGUUUCGGCUAGGGGGCCAUCCCGGCUUACCAACCCGAUGCAAACUGCGAAUACCGGAGAAUGUUAUCACGGGAGACACACGGCGGGUGCUAACGUCCGUCGUGAAGAGGGAAACAACCCAGACCGCCAGCUAAGGUCCCAAAGUCAUGGUUAAGUGGGAAACGAUGUGGGAAGGCCCAGACAGCCAGGAUGUUGGCUUAGAAGCAGCCAUCAUUUAAAGAAAGCGUAAUAGCUCACUGGUCGAGUCGGCCUGCGCGGAAGAUGUAACGGGGCUAAACCAUGCACCGAAGCUGCGGCAGCGACGCUGAUGCGUUGUUGGGUAGGGGAGCGUUC